AUGACCUUGAUUUCUGCCUUGCUUAGCAACAAGUUUCAUUUGCUAAGGUUCAGGUGUUUGAGCAGUAGAAAGUACAGGGAAAGAAGAAUAAAGAGGAUUGGAAAACAAAAGGCUGGAACUUUGUUUGUCAUUCAACACCAGGGACCCCAUCCUGCCUGCCCUUCUGGGAUGUUUCAGGAGAGAAGAUGUUCCUGGACUCCAGCUGCAGGUCUCUGCCCACCUCUAAGAGGCACAGGCAGGGACUGGUAGAGGAAUGGGUGGUACUUGGAGUCGCCGACCAUAGCCUUGAACCCUUCUUCAGUGGUGAUGAGGAACACUUCCAAGGGCUGCCCGUGCUAGAAGGAAAUGCCUAAGCCACACUUCUCUAAGCCCCAGGUGCCCUGCUCCAGGGUAUUGAACAACCACCAUGAAUUGGUCCAGGUGGCGACUGAAAUGCACGGCAGCCUCAACAUUCUGCUCCUCACCGCAGAAUAGGUUCACAUGGAACCCACCAAGCUUUGUUCAGGACAAUAUGACAAACUCUCAUCACAAUGCCCACUAGGAUGCCCUUGGGCAGCGAGGUCUUGUGGGGCACAUUAGAGCUCCCUGCUUUGGCUGGACAGUAAG
rnacentral:lncRNA from 1 species